AGUGAACGCUGGCGGUAGGCCUAACACAUGCAAGUCGAACGGCAGCACAGGAGAGCUUGCUCUCUGGGUGGCGAGUGGCGGACGGGUGAGGAAUACAUCGGAAUCUACUCUGUCGUGGGGGAUAACGUAGGGAAACUUACGCUAAUACCGCAUACGACCUACGGGUGAAAGCAGGGGACCUUCGGGCCUUGCGCGAUGGAAUGCGCCGAUGUCGGAUUAGCUAGUUGGCGGGGUAAAGGCCCACCAAGGCGACGAUCCGUAGCUGGUCUGAGAGGAUGAUCAGCCACACUGGAACUGAGACACGGUCCAGACUCCUACGGGAGGCAGCAGUGGGGAAUAUUGGACAAUGGGCGCAAGCCUGAUCCAGCCAUACCGCGUGGGUGAAGAAGGCCUCCGGGUUGUAAAGCCCUUUUGUUGGGAAAGAAAUCCAGCUGGCUAAUACCCGGUUGGGAUGACGGUACCCAAAGAAUAAGCACCGGCUAACUUCGUGCCAGCCGCCGCAGUAA
rnacentral:rRNA from 1 species